GUUUUUGAAUUGAUAAGCUUAAAAAUUUAAUAGCAGACAGUAGCACUCUCAAAGAUAGGCCAAAACCUAGCUUGAGUAUGCCAGUGUUUGCAUUUUGUAAUAUACAUAAAUGAGUAUUUUUUAGGCAAAUAUUGGCAACUCUUCCUAUGGGGCUUGUUGCAUGCUAAAGGCUGUGGAAUUUUACAUUACCAAAAAUAAUUAGAUAGUCCUUUAAGAUACAGG
rnacentral:misc_RNA from 1 species